CUGAAGAGUGUUCCUUACUAACAUCUUACUCUGUCUGGUCUUUUAUAAUUUUUAAAUUCCUUCCUAUGAAAUCCAUAGCCGCCAGUGGAUUUCAGGGAUGGAGGUACUGUUAGGUCACAAGACAAAAGGCAGCAGCAGCAGCAGCAGGGUCAGACAAGGCCUGGUUUUGACCUGCUCAAGAAGCCUGUGGCUAUGCAGAAACUUGGCAGCCACGGAGCUUUUGUGGGUGAAUCACAGGAUUCUCUUAGAUCAGAAAUAUGCCGUCUCUCUUGUCUGGCCUGAGCAUCCACAGAGAAGCUGGCUGGAGUACAGGCUGUCUGUCAAAGGAGACUCAAGCAGGUGGACACAGGUGAAGACUAAGGCAGACUCAUGAAGGGACGUUUCACUGAAGCCGACACAGGAGAGAGGAUGUUCUGCUAAAGCAAGCAGGUAAAAGAACACAAGAUGAAAGAUUCUUUGCUAACAACAUUCAUGUAUUAGUUUGUCUUACAUUGCAUAGUUGAGCUACAUUCGUUGGGAUGCCAUGGAGAGAAAUGUACUUCAUAACUUCUGGAGGUGUGCUGCAGUUUCUUGCAACUUCCAGACUUGGGCUGAUUGGCAGAGUGAAGUCAACUGAGACAGACCCACGGAGGACUCGUGAUGUUUGGAGGGUAUAAAUAGGACUCAACAGACAGUGACGGAGGCUGAGCUUGGCUUACUUAUAGAGCUAGCUGUGCAAGGCUUGUGAGUCUUGCAUCUUCACUCCCUUGAGAGAGGCACAGCUGAGAACUUCUCCUGGCGUUCCUAUGGGUCCCUCCUGCAGACUCAUGCUGAGGCCUGGCUGUCUCUGCUAGGCAGGGCCCCCACUGCUGAUUAGUGUUUGCUAUCCCAACUCUACCAAACUGACUGUUGGUGUGUCUGUGAAGUGUUUUCAAGGGAAUCGAGCGGCUACUGCUAACCUGUGAGCUGAACUGCCAAUUUCCAGACAAUACAGGCAAGAGUUGCUCCAAAGAAUCUGUCUAAACAGGUCCACUUCCCCAGUAUCCUUUUCUCCACUGCCUCUUGUGGGUGGUGUGCUAAAGGAGAGAUUAAAGCACUUAAAAAAUCAUUAAAAAUAGUUUUUUUUUUUAAAUUAAGGUUACACCUGUGUGCACAUACGCACUCAUGUUCAGACAUAUGUGUAUGGGUAUGGAAGCCAGAGGUCAGUAUCAGGCGUUGUCCUCAAUUUCUUUCACAUCAUCUUCUUAGUUUUUGAGACAGUCUCUUGACAAAUGUAGAGCUCAGGGUUUUGACUGGACGAUCUGACCAGAAAUCCCAGAGAUCUCCCUGUCUCUGUCUCCCCAGCUUUGGAUUACAGCUGUGCAGGAAUGGACGACAGCAUCUACAACAACAACUUCUUCUUCUUCUUCUUCUUCUUCUUCUUCUUCUUCUUCUUCUUCUUCUUCUUCUUCCUCUUCCUUCUUCUUCUUCCUCUUCCUCUUCCUCCUCCUCUUCUUCCUCCUUCCUCUUUGUAGCCUCCCCCCAGCCUCAAAGCCAGCUGAUCCAGACCUUGACCUUGCUGCCACUAAGGAGAUUAUCUAGGGUGAAGCCUUCCUGCCUAGAUGACUCUAUUGUUCAACCAGAGCCACUGUUCCCCUUCAAGACACUGCUACCUGCUGAGAGGCCCCUGAGCUAUUCCGGAGACUACACCCGAUCCUGCAAGUAGUCACCCUGCAGCUAGUUCCAGGCUCCAAGAAUGGAUUAGCGGGGGAUGGUCCUCCCCCCUUUAUAAGCACAGUUUUCUAUUAAACAUUUGAGUUUUGAUCAGGAACCUUGACUUAGCUCCAUUUUUCUCUUGACUGCCUAGUUCCCCUCUCUUUUCAGCCCCGGCUUGCCUCCCAGGUGAAACCCGGUCCAUGUGAGCCUUGGGACAGCUCCCAACACCUCUUCCUCUUCCUCUUAUUUCCUUUUCUUCUUCCU
rnacentral:lncRNA from 1 species